rnacentral:rRNA from 1 species
AGUCGAGGGGCAGCGAGAUUGAAGCUUGCUUCAAUUGUCGGCGACCGGCGGACGGGUGCGUAACGCGUAUGCAACCUACCCAUAACAGGGGGAUAACACUGAGAAAUUGGUACUAAUACCCCAUAACAUCUCGAGUGGCAUCACUUGGGGUUGAAAGCUUCGGUGGUUAUGGAUGGGCAUGCGUUGUAUUAGCUAGUUGGUGAGGUAACGGCUCACCAAGGCGACGAUACAUAGGGGGACUGAGAGGUUAACCCCCCACAUUGGUACUGAGACACGGACCAAACUCCUACGGGAGGCAGCAGUGAGGAAUAUUGGUCAAUGGACGGAAGUCUGAACCAGCCAUGCCGCGUGCAGGAUGACGGCUCUAUGAGUUGUAAACUGCUUUUGUACGAGGGUAAACCCGAAUACGUGUAUUCGGCUGAAGGUAUCGUACGAAUAAGGAUCGGCUAACUCCGUGCCAGCAGCCGCGGUAAUACGGAGGAUCCAAGCGUUAUCCGGAUUUAUUGGGUUUAAAGGGUGCGUAGGCGG